rnacentral:lncRNA from 1 species
GAGAAACAAACUAUAGGUAGUAAUUCAAAUUCCACUCACUGCGUCUUAACAUUAAUCAAAAUUUGCAACACUAGAGGCUGAUCGAGAUACACGUAAACUGCCAUUCUGGGAAAUCUUCCACUUGAACCCUUAUCAAUCAUAAAAUCCACCUUUGCAACCUUACCCACUAGUCCUCCUAUUUCCUCUAAAAUUUUCCUUUUAUAAAAGAAACCAGACAAGUCAGGGAGACAAAUCCAGGCUAUCGCCACAUUUGGAAAUGGUUGGAGUGGGUUAAAGUCUAAAGUCCAAGGUCCAAGGUUGGACUAUAAGAUACUGACUAAAUACCAUCCAUGGUCCCUAGGUAAGAACCU